rnacentral:misc_RNA from 1 species
GACAUGAUUAGAGUUUGUGACACAUACAAGCCAUGCUUUCAUUUGGUUUAUGAAUUGUGGAAUUCUAUGAUUGACACAUACAAAUAAGUUUUCUCCUUUCUAUUACAUGGUUCAUUGAAUUCUUAUUAAUCAUUGAGUAAAGCGCAACACUUCAUUCAUUAUUUGGCUCAUUCAUUAAAAUCCAAGGUAAAUUUCUAAAUUACAU